GAUGAACGCUGGCGGCGUGCCUAAUACAUGCAAGUCGAGCGAACAGACGAGGAGCUUGCUCCUCUGACGUUAGCGGCGGACGGGUGAGUAACACGUGGAUUACCUACCUAUAAGACUGGGAUAACUUCGGGAAACCGGAGCUAAUACCGGAUAAUAUAUUGAACCGCAUGGUUCAAUAGUGAAAGACGGUUUUGCUGUCACUUAUAGAUGGAUCCGCGCCGCAUUAGCUAGUUGGUAAGGUAACGGCUUACCAAGGCAACGAUGCGUAGCCGACCUGAGAGGGUGAUCGGCCACACUGGAACUGAGACACGGUCCAGACUCCUACGGGAGGCAGCAGUAGGGAAUCUUCCGCAAUGGGCGAAAGCCUGACGGAGCAACGCCGCGUGAGUGAUGAAGGUCUUCGGAUCGUAAAACUCUGUUAUUAGGGAAGAACAAAUGUGUAAGUAACUAUGCACGUCUUGACGGUACCUAAUCAGAAAGCCACGGCUAACUACGUG
rnacentral:rRNA from 1 species